rnacentral:tRNA from 1 species
GGCCUGAUGGUGAAGUGGUAACACGGCGGUCUGCAAAACCGCUAUGCGUGGGUUCGAUUCCCACUCAGGCCU